GCUGGGCAUGGUGGCGCGUGCCUGUAGUCCCAGCUACUCAGGAGGCUGAGGCGGGAGAAUUGCUUGAACCCAGGAGGUGGAGGUUGCAGUGAGCCAAAAUCGCGCCAUUGCACUUCAGCCUGGGUAAAAAAAGCGAAACUCCGUCUCAA
rnacentral:sRNA from 13 species